GAAUUCGAUUCAGGCCUAACACAUGCAAGUCGAAAGGCAGCACGGGUGCUUGCACCUGGUGGCGAGUGGCGAACGGGUGAGUAAUACAUCGGAACGUACCUUAUCGUGGGGGAUAACGCAGCGAAAGCUGUGCUAAUACCGCAUACGCCCUGAGGGGGAAAGCGGGGGAUCGCAAGACCUCGCGCGAUUAGAGCGGCCGAUGCCUGAUUAGCUAGUUGGUGGGGUAAAAGCCCACCAAGGCGACGAUCAGUAGCUGGUCUGAGAGGACGAUCAGCCACACUGGGAUGGAGACACGGCCCAGACUCCUACGGGAGGCAGCAGUGGGGAAUUUUGGACAAUGGGGGCAACCCUGAUCCAGCAAGGCCGCGUGAGUGAAGAAGGCCUUCGGGUUGAAAUCUAUUGGUCAGGGAAGAAACACCGGCUCUACACAGUCCGGGAAUGAC
rnacentral:rRNA from 1 species